UUGGAGGGCAAGUCUGGUGCCAGCAGCCGCGGUAAUUCCAGCUCCAAUAGCGUAUAUUAAAGUUGCUGCAGUUAAAAAGCUCGUAGUUGAAUUUCGGGAUCAAAUUGUCGGUCGUGCCUCGGUACGCACUGGUAUUAUUGGUUCCUACCUUCUGAAGAACCGCGAUGUCAUUAAUUUGGUGUCGUGGGGAAUCAGGACUGUUACUUUGAAAAAAUUAGAGUGUUUAAAGCAGGCUUACGCUUGAAUACAUUAGCAUGGAAUAAUGAAAUAGGACGUUUGAUUCUAUUUUGUUGGUUUCUAGGAUUGACGUAAUGAUUAAUAGGGAUAGUUGGGGGCAUUAGUAUUCAAUUGUCAGAGGUGAAAUUCUUGGAUUUAUUGAAGACUAACUACUGCGAAAGCAUUUGCCAAGGAUGUUUUCAUUAAUCAAGAACGAAAGUUAGGGGAUCGAAGACGAUCAGAUACCGUCGUAGUCUUAACCAUAAACUAUGCCGACUAGGGAUCGGAUGAUGUUAAUUUUUUAAUGACUCAUUCGGCGCCUUACGGGAAAC
rnacentral:rRNA from 1 species